rnacentral:tRNA from 1 species
GAGGGUGCAGCUCAGUGGUAGAGCAUGUGCUCAGCAUGCAUGAGGUCCUGGGUUCAAUCCCCAGCACCUCCA